rnacentral:rRNA from 1 species
UACCGGGGAUGCAAGCGUUAUCCGGAAUGAUUGGGCGUAAAGCGUCUGUAGGUGGUAGUUGAAGUCUGCUGUUCAAGACCAGGGCUUAACCCUGGGCCGGCAGUGGAAACUCAGCUGCUUGAGUGCGGUAGGGGCAGAGGGAAUUCCCGGUGUAGCGGUGAAAUGCGUAGAUAUCGGGAAGAACACCGAUGGCGAAGGCGCUCUGCUGGGCCGUUACACUGACACUGAGAGACGAAAGCUAGGGGAGCAAACGGG